UGUUGGUUCCCAGGCAGAUGACUAGUGCUGUUCCACACUGUUACGGUCUUUAUGUACAUUCUGUUCAAGUUUGCCUCCUUUAUUUUCUUAUCUUUCUCCUUGCCUGUUCCAGACGUCAGCUCCCCUUUUGGACUAUUAACCUCCACAAGGAAUUGUCAACCUCUGAUCAAUACCCAUCGUUACCCCUCGGACUAGCAUCUCUCUACCAGGUUGGUGCUCUCCUAUCCUGUUUUCUACCUGCUCAUCGUGUUCUCCUGCCUGUUCUUCUGCCUCAACCAUCUCUACCUUGACCAGCCAGUGAGUGACCCUCCUGCUCCACAGCUCGACCCUGAGACGUCCUUCAUCAUCUCUGCCUAGGAUCAACACCUAUACCCCCCUAUACCUAUUCGGGACUUUUAUGUGUUUUGACACAUUAUCACCAUUCUAAUCUGUACAGCACUCCGCUUCCUUUGUCACACCACCUUGUGUGGCAUGCGUCCAUAACAUGGACUUUUGCUUGUGGAAGAAGAAAGGAGAUUGUGGAAGUGAAAAGCAAGGAGGAACAACACUAAAUUGGUGAAAUCAUGGAUCCUACAAUGACAAGAUGAUGGGACUUUUCCGAACCAUGUUCUUCUCAUGUAUUGAUUCGCUAAGCUCAACAGCCAUUCAGAAUGGUCUCACUGACGAGGCCCGACCACAGACAACAUGUCAAAUAGGCUGAAAAGCUGCUGACAGAGAUCGACUAGUGCCAGCGGUGUGGGACACACUAGGAGGACAAGCCCCGACAGAUGCUCACUAAUGGCCCAACAGUUGACCAUUGGCUUGGUGUGUCUCUGCCCUACAUAGGCAUACACAUACAUUUUACUGACAACAUAGAUAAGCAGACUCUUUACUCCAAUCAGCGGUUAUUGUUUGCACCUGUUUUCACCCCCUUAUAGGCAGCUUCCCAACACCAAGAAGCUGCCAGAUCAUUCUAACCCAUGUUUAGACUUUCCAGCAUUUUUUCUUCCUCCUGUGAUUCCAGCUCUGACCCCGGCUUACCUUUUGACCACUAAUGCUUAACCUUUACCUCCUGAUUCUGACCAUGUUUUUCUGUAUAUUUACUAUCGGACUCCCCUCUCUGACCUCUUGUACCUCGGCUGUGUAAGUUUUUUGGCUCUGACUGGACUGUAUUAUCAAACUGAGUGUUACUUGCUGAACCUGAAUCCUGCUUUGUGUUAUCGUUUGUUACCAGUGCUUCUUAUUAAAUAAACACUUUUACUCGUCUGUCCUUAUAA